CGCCUCGGACGGGUGAGUAACGCGUGAGGGAGGAAGGCCUUGGGUUGUAAACCUCUUUUUCAAGGAAGAAGCAAGUGACGGUACUUGAAGAAUCAGCAUCGGCUAACUCCGUGCCAGCAGCCGCGGUAAUACGGAGGAUGCAAGCGUUAUCCGGAAUCAUUGGGCGUAAAGCGUCCGCAGGUGGCGUAUCAAGUCUGCUGUCAAAGACAGAAGCUCAACUUCUGGCAGGCAGUGGAAACUGGUAAGCUAGAGUACGGUAGGGGUUGAGGGAAUUCCCAGUGUAGCGGUGAAAUGCGUAGAUAUUGGGAAGAACACCAGUGGCGAAGGCGCUCAGCUGGGCCGUAACUGACACUGAGGGACGAAAGCUAGGGGAGCGAAAGGGAUUAGAUACCCCUGUAGUCCUAGCUGUAAACGAUGAACACUAGGCGUUGCUUGUAUCGACCCGAGCAGUGCCGUAGCCAACGCGUUAAGUGUUCCGCCUGGGGAGUACGCACGCAAGUGUGAAACUCAAAGGAAUUGACGGGGGCCCGCACAAGCGGUGGAGUAUGUGGUUUAAUUCGAUGCAACGCGAAGAACCUUACCAGGACUUGACAGUUCGCGAAUCUGGGGGAAACUUCAGAGUGCCUUAGGGAGCGCGAAAACAGGUGGUGCAUGGCUGUCGUCAGCUCGUGUCGUGAGAUGUUGGGUUAAGUCCCGCAACGAGCGCAACCCUCGUUCUUAGUUGCCAGCAUUAAGUUGGGCACUUUAGGAAGACUGCCGGUGACAAACCGGAGGAAGGUGGGGAUGACGUCAAGUCAGCAUGCCCCUUACGUUCUGGGCUACACACGUACUACAAUGGUGGGGACAAAGGGCAGCCAACUCGCGAGAGUGAGCGAAUCUCAGCAAACCCUGCCUCAGUUCAGAUUGCAGGCUGCAACUCGCCUGCAUGAAGGAGGAAUCGCUAGUAAUCGCAGGUCAGCAUACUGCGGUGAAUUCGUUCCC
rnacentral:rRNA from 1 species